rnacentral:rRNA from 1 species
UGCGGAGGGGGCGAGCGUUGUUCGGAAUCACUGGGUGUAAAGGGUGCGUAGGCGGUCCGUUAAGUCUGAUGUGAAAUCCCUGGGCUCAACUCAGGAACUGCAUUGGAAACUGGCGGACUGGAGUACCGGAGAGGGAAGCGGAAUUUCUGGUGUAGCGGUGAAAUGCGUAGAUACCAGGAGGAACACCGGUGGCGAAGGCGGCUUCCUGGCCGAGUACUGACGCUGAGGCACGAAAGCGUGGGGAGCGAACGGG